UCUCUGCUGGUUCAGUGGUUAAGACUGUGCACUUCCAAUGCAGAGAGCAUAGGUUCGAUCCCUAGUUGGGGAA
rnacentral:tRNA from 1 species